UCGCUGGGUGAGCAUCCCUCCUGUUCUGUGUAUGGCACUGGUAGAAUUCACUGUGAAAACACAAAAUCAGUGAAUUACCAUAGGGCCAUAAACAGAGCAGAGAAAGAACCACAAGAACACGU
rnacentral:pre_miRNA from 14 species